rnacentral:misc_RNA from 1 species
CCGUCAAAAUGGUGAACUAUCCGAAGAAGAAGGUGAUGCACUGCGGCGACGCGCGCUGCAACGCGCACAAGUCGUUCAAGGUGGUGCAGUACAAGGCCGGUAAGGCCCGCCUUUUUGCUCGCGGUAAGCGUCGUUACGACCGCAAGCAGUCUGGUUAUGGUGGUCAGACCAAGCCCGUCUUCCACAAGAAGGCCAAGACUACCAAGAAGAUUGUGCUGAAACUCCAGUGCUCUGGUUGCAAGUCUAUCCGCCAGGUCGUCCUCAAGCGCACGAAGCAUUUUGAGCUGAACGACAAGAAGAAGACAGGCAACAAGGACCCCACCUGGUAAAUUGCACGGCUCUUAUUUGUCCUUUGAAGUAUAUAUAUAUAUAUAUAUAUAUAUAUAUAUAUAUAUAUAUAUAUUCUGUUUUCGACUUCACUGAGAAGCGGAGAAAUAUCAUUAAAAAAUUUCAGUGGGCUUGAAUGUCGCUGACUGAAUGUGAUGCACAUCUCGAAAGAGAUGUGUAGGAGAUCGAGUGGCUGACAGUUUUUGUGUUCAACCACUUCCCCUCCGUUACAAAUGUGCGGAUAACUCCGUAUUUUCCGGAUGUGGCACAAUGAAAACGAUAUGUGGAUAUAGAGCUGUUUUCCUUGCCUGUGCUCGUUAUGUUUGUUUUCUUGUCUCUCUUCUGUCUUCCUCUCGAGAUUACUGUGAGGAGGAAAG